rnacentral:lncRNA from 1 species
UUCUCAACUAUCAAGUAAAGGGACCUCAAGAGUGGGCAAUAUGUCAGGUCAGAGGAAAGAUCACCACAUCACCCAGAAAGGCAGGUGGAGGAAGAGAGGAAUGUGCAGUUUGAAAAAGCACAUUUUGGCCGGGGAAAGUGGCUCAUACCUGUAAUCCCAGUAGGUUGGGUGGCAGGCAGAUCACCUGAGGUCAAGAGUUCCAGAGCAGCCUAGCCAACGUGGCAAAAUCUUUUCUCUACUAAAAAAAAAACAAAAAUUAGUGGGGCAUGGUGGUUCAUGCCUGUAAUCCCAGCUACUCAGGAGGCUAAUGCAGGAGAAUCUCUUGAAUCCAGGAGGCAGAGGUUGCAGUGAGCCGAGAUCGUGCCACUGCACUCCAGCCUGGGAGCCAGAGGGAGACUCCAUCUCAAAAAAAAAGAAAAGGAGAGGAAAGGAAAGGAAAGGAGAGGAAAGGAGAGGAGAGGAGAGGAAAGAGAAAAAGCAUAUUUAUGAUUUACUUUGAAAAUAAGAAAAUUACUUGCUUUUUGAAUAUAAAUUGCAGCAAGUAACACUCAACAAAAUCUCCUUAGCUGAUGGGGUAUGAUUUUUUUUAAAACAAGAAUGAGUAGAAAACACUGAUUCUAGUUUGUCUUCCCCAUUUUCACAGACCGGAAAACUGAAGCCCAGGGAAGGCAAGUGACUUAGGCAAGAUCACACAACUGCCUCCCAGGCAAACCAGGAAAAGAAACAAAAUCACAGAUACUUGUGCUACCAAAGAAUUAUUCUUGUUACCCCAAGUUUUGAUAUCCCGGAAUGCCAAAGAGUUUUCCCCAAGAGCAUCAUUCCUGGGCUCAGCUUGCAGUUUGACCACCUGGAUCCUGUCAUCAGCAUGACCCGGGGCCGUGGUCCUUCUUGGGAGGUGUCAUGACAUCACAGGGAAAAGCAUAGGCUUCUGACGUCAUGAUAUAAUUCCUGGUUCCUCAGUUUACUAGCUGGAUGACUUGAAAAACUGCUCAACCUCUCUCUGGCCUCUAUGUUCUCAUCUAUAAAAUGGAACCCACCUGACAUGACAACCUCACAGAACUGUUGUGAGGAACUAAUGAGAUUAUGUAACUAACAUGCUUGCUAUUUAGAAAGUGUUCCAUUGUUUUGGCCAGGCACGGUGGCUCAUGCCUGUAACAACACUUUGGGAGGCUGAGGUGGGUGGAUCACUUGAGGUCAGGAGUUUGAGACCAGCCUGGCCAACAUGGUGAAACCCCGUCUCUAUUAAAAAUACAAAAAUUAGCCAGGCAUGGUGCUGCACACUUGUAGUCCCCGCUAUUCAACAUACUGAGGCAGGAGAAUCACUUGAACUCAGGAGGUGGAGACUACAGUCAGCCAAGAUUGCAUCACUGCACUCCAGCCUGAGCAACAGAGUGAAAAAAAAGAAAAUGUUCCAUUAUUUUUCAUUUCUCUUCUCCAGCAUCAUUUCUGAAUACUUCAAAUGAUAAAACAUCAAAGAGACCUCCUGAGGUCACUGGAUGUUCAUCUCAUGGGGGCUGCCCACAUUCCUUGACUCAUGGCCCCUUCUGCCAUCUUCAAAGCUCACAAUGACCAGUCAAGUCUUUCUCACAUGACAUCACUGACUCUGGGUCUCUGGUCUCCCUUUCUUACUUAUAAGGAUCCCUAUGAUGACUUUGGACUCACACAGAAAAUCAGGGUAAUCUUCCCCUGUCAAGAGCAGCAAAUUGGCAACCUUAAUUCCAUCUGCAUCCUUAAUCCCCACCCCCACCAUGUAACAUUCCAUAUUCUCAGGUUCCAGAGAUGAAGACAUGGAUAUCUUUGGAGAACUAUUAUUCUGCCUACCUGGUAUUCAAACCUCCUCCCCAUCCUUUUCCCCUUCGGGCUGACAGAGACAUUGCUGCUUGAUCAGAACACUCAUUUCCUCCUCACAUCCAGUCUCAGAUUCCUUUCAAACACCAUGCUUCCUCAGGCACCAUGAAUGCACUGGCCUUGGCAUAGAAGCAGCAUCCACUUGCUAGCCCUGAAUUCAACAUACAAAGCAAACCCUUGAACGCGGGUAGGGUGGUCUAGGAAAUGCUGAUCUUUGCAGGCCAUCUCAGGGUUUUGGUGUAGCCCCAGCCAAAGACAGAGAUGUGUAGAAUCUUACGUCUCAUCUCUGACAUCAAAGGGACUCCACUGGCUACAAGGACCCAUCCCAGCUCUCCAUCUGGAACCACAGUUGAUAGCAGGACAUUUUCCUGGUCAGUUUUUCUUGGGAGAUUUUUUGUCUGAGCACUAAGUUAUUCCAUGUGGGCAAUUUUCCCACUUGUUUUGGGGUCACUGGACCAUACUUCCUUCUGUCACUUUCUGCUUCUGCACAGAGCACCUGCAGUGACCUUAUUCCUUGCAAGUAAAGAGAUGCUUUUUCCACUGAGGGGCUCCUCCUGCUGGUCUCUGCAGAGAGAAUGCAGAGUCCCUGAGGGUCAGUGAAAAGCUGUGUCUGUUUCCCUCGCCCUUAGAGGGUUAAAACCAAAUGCACCUGACAACUGCUGGAUAGUCCAAAACUCUACCAUGCCUGACCAUGAGAACAUAAUGGCUGCAUUUGCCCAGACGUUGCAAGCCCCUGGCUCAGAAACAAACCCAACAACAGAAAAAUAAAGGGUAAAUAAAUCUGGAUGGGAAUAAAAGAAAAAAACAGGGCCGUGUGUAUUGAGUGAAGUCCUUGCUCUUCUCCUAACUGGACAUAGAGUUGGGACAAGUCUCUUCAAGCCUUUGUGGGCCUUUCUUUCAUGUAGCCUAAAAAAGAAUGUUAGGCCAGAUUAAUUCUGAGAUUUCUGAAAACCCUCAUAGCAAACAGCUUUGGCUCUCACAGCCUGGAAUGGUUUCAAAAGAGAGUAACAAGAAUGGUGGAGGGCUCAGAAUGGUCAGUUCAGAAAAGAGAUUGAAAACACUGGGAAUGUUCAUCCAGGAAAAGAGAGGACGGGGGAUGGUGAUGGUCCUCUGGGUUUCAAUCAGCCCAUUUGCAUGUGAUCCCAUUAGUGUAACUUUCUUUUUUUUUUUUUUUUUUUUUUUUUGAGACAGGGCCUUGCUCUGUUGCCCAGGCUGGAGUGCAGUGGCACAAUCUCGGCUCUCUGCAACCUCUGCCUCCUGGACUCAAGUGAUCUUCCUACCUCAGUCUCCCGAGUAGUUGGGACCACAGGCACAUACCUUCAUGCCCGGUUAAUUUUUGGUAUUUUUGGUAGAGACAGGGUUUCACCAUGUUGCCCAGGCUGGUCUCGAACUCCUGACCUCAGGCAAUCCACCCGCCUCAGCCUCCCAAAGUGCUGGGAUUACAGGUGUGAGCCACCGCACCCAGCCAACAAUGACUUAACUUUCACCAGCUCACUCAGAGCGGCAGCCUGUUUGCAAGUGUCCCCCAGUAUUUCUAGAGUGACUUGGGGGUGCCUCAUGUGUGCUCAACACACACAGCAGUUUUCUGGUCCCCAUAGUUCUACUCUCAUUGGCCUGAUCCAGGCCUCUGCCAGGACACAGGGCGCUGCUACCUCUUGCUGGGGAUCGCUGUCCUUGCCACCACAGAGAUGCUCAAGACCAGAGAACCGCAGGCUCUGCAGUGCAGUGGAGGAGUGAGCCUCUCUCCCCGUUUCGUGUUAGUCUCAAGAUGAGUCCCAGAGCUGGUUCCCCAGUGACUACCACAUGUUAGUGUCAACCAUUCUUUCCAUUUUUGUGCAUAGCUUUUUUGCUCUCCAUAGAUCUCUUAACGAAGUCCAAUGGGGGCUGAGUAGUGAGACAGAUUCUGCUGUGAGCUGUACACUGGGCCAUGCUCAGAACCUCUCCUUUCCUGUCACAAUUAAAGCUCAGUGACCAAGUUAGGUGUUAAUGCCUGGUUCCUUCUUCCUUCAAGACGAGCUCCUUCCCAGGAGGCUCCAUGAUCUCUGGUGCACAUAGGCUUCUAACAGGCCCAUGCAGCAGUUCACCAGGCCUGCCCAGACCUGCCUGAACCAGGUCUGGGCCCCAUUUGGGACUCCCUGCAUAUUUAAUGUGUGGCAGCCUGCCAUGUCAGAGAGGCACUGCGCUUAAGUUGCCCAGCGAAAAGAAGACCAGUAAGCAGAAGCUACACAAUGACAGGGAUUGUUUUCCUCAAAUGUUGAGUAAAAUCUAAUAGAUCUGUCUAUUAGAGAUUUCUCAGAUGGUUGUGAGUGCCCUGUAAUGUGACCCAUUUAGACAGAUGCCUGCAAAAGCCCUAACAGGGAUGUCGUAGAGAAGAUGUCCUGAGUGUCAGACAUCCAGCCCUAGAAAUCUGAACAUCCUUCAUGUUUCACUGCUGAGAUGCUUGUUGGGAAAGUACCUCCUGAAUUGUCCUAGAAAUAGGCCCCAGGCUUCACCACCAGUUUCAUUGCCCAUGGAGAAUAACCACCCCAAAUUCCUCUUCUGAAUCUUGUACCCAAGGCUGAGGCCCUCCCGGUUUGCAAAUGGAAGAGUGUUGUAUAAUAGCCAGGACCUUCUGCAACAUGGAAGGGUACUUCCACAUGACUGGGUCCAAAGAAGACCCACUGGGCAUCAUCAUACUUUUGGGAAUCAAGUUUAUGCAGGAGAAAAGAUGAUUUGGGGAGUACAGUAGCUACGCUCAAAUAUACUAGGGGCUGCAUGAAGCAGAAAUUUCAUAUUUUCAGCUUAGGGAAGUAAAAAAUGCACAAUAGGCUGGAGUCAAAACAUUUAAGAUUGAGCUAUAGUCUCCCUGCAUGCAAACUGUGGAAUCCCAGACAAGUCACAUGAACUCUCCAAGACUUUAUUUCCUCACCUGUAAAACGAGCCUAAUAACACACACAUUGCAAAGUUGUUGUGAUAAUUAUGUGAGAACAUUGUGACCUGCAAUUGGUAUUCCCUAAGCUGAGCUUUUCAAGUGUGUCUUACCCAGCGCUCCACACCCAGUGCCUGGCAUGUCACCUGCUAUAUAUAAUGCCAGCGUUCAGUAAAUGGCCCUUGAAUGAAAUUGAUGUUUCCUCAAAAGACAGAAGGCAGUCAAUAGUUAAAGGUUCUAAGGAAGCUAAAUCUCUCUUUAACUCAAGGAAGCUCUAUCGAACAGCCAGAGCUGUCCACCAGGCUGAUUCAGAGGCAGAGAGCUCUAUUUCAUGGAGGUAUUCAAUCCCAGAGCCUUGACCAGCUGCCAGAGAUGCUCUAGAAUGCACUCUCCCUGUAGAAAGAUCCCCAUAGGAUGUGAGAAGCAGAGAGUAGCAAAGCCACAUUAAGGUGUAGCUACAGCACUGAAAAUCUGUCUCACUCACCAGGCAGGAAUCUGCCUCACACACUGGCAUCUCAGCACAUGCGGUGCAAGCUCAGACCUCACCACAAUCGCAAAUUAUGCCGUGAGCCUUAGGGACACUCACAAAUUACAGCAAAUAUUAAAGCUACUCACACCAAGGUCUAUUGAAAACCAUGUUAUCUGCCUAGACAUCCCAAUCCAACAUGCUGCAGUGUUAUGGCUCCUCACUUGUAUGUUUGCAGCAGGUAAGAAUCGGCAUCACUCAUUCAUUCAACAAGCAUCGAUUGAGUAUCUAAUCUAUGGCAGGCACUGCACUGGGGUGGGGAAGUGAGGGCAGUGGCUGAGUCAGGGACCAGGGAUGAAAGCAGGAAUAGGGUACAACCUUUCACACAACAGAUUUGCUCUGCCUUAGAGACAAACAUAUCUAUCAGGGACAGAGACAUUCCAUAGCAACCAAACAAAUCAGGGUAUAAUUACAAACUGUAAUAAGCAGCAUGAAGGAAAAGUAAGAGGGAUAUUGAGGGACUAUAUAGAGGGCCAGUGUCAAGAAAAGGUUUCUCUGGGGAAGCAACAUUUGACCUGAGAGCUGGACGCUGAGUCCACUUUAGCCAACUAAAGACUUGGGUGAAGCAGUUUGGAACAGCAGGAACAGCAUUUGCAAAGGCCUGAGGCAGGAAAGUGAAGUUAGUCAAAGGACUGAGAGAAGGCGCAUGUGGUUGGAAACUCUCAGCAAGUGAGGCAGAGGAGGAACUUGUUAGAUAUCUUUUCUAUCUUAUCCUAAAUUCAAGAGAUAACCAGCAAAGGAUUUCCAGCAAAGAAUGAUGAGAACAGAUUUGUGGCUUGAAAAGAUCACCCAGAAGAAGAGAGUGGAAAGAGUGCAAGAGUGGAAGCAUUUUAAAAACAAUCAUGGUCUCAGAAUUUAGAAAUAACUUAGGGUCACCAUCAGAAUAUUGGGAGCUAGUAAAAUUGAGUGUUUAUAUUACAUUCUUCAAAUUUCAGUAAUAAAAUGGAUCCCAAAGUUGAAAAAAAAAAAACAAUCAUGGUCUGCCAGGUGCGGUGGCUCAUGCCUGUAAUCCCAGCACUUUGGGAGGCCAAGGCAGGUGGUCAGGAAUCCAAGACCAGCCUGGCCAAAAUGGUGAAACCCCGUCUCUACUAAAAAUAUAAAAAUUAGCCGAUUAGCCGGGCGUGAUGGCUGGUGCCUGUAAUCUCAGCUACCUGGGAGGCUGAGUCAGGAGAAUUGCUUGAGCCCAGGAGGCGGAGGCUGCAGUGAGCCGAGAUCGUGCCACUGCACUCCAGCCUGGAUGACAGAGUGAGGACUCUGUCUCAGAAAAUAAACAAACCAAAUAAUAAUAAUAAUAACAAUCCUGGUUGUCUGGAGGGGAGAGUGGUGACUUGCAUGAAAGUAAGGUGGCAGCAGAGAGGUACUAACAAAUACCGAUUUCAUUUGAGCUACCACUUACAGGAAAAGGUAAGAGAGCCAGGGGAAAAAACAAUUCUGUGUGCUCAGGGAAAAUUAUGAGAAUAAAUUUCAAGGAAUCCUAAAGUCUUACAGGGUCUGAAGACAUAUAAUUAAAGCAAAAAGAUAGAUCUUAAGCACAGAACAUUCACAUAGCCUCAGGCUACUACUUAAAGAAGAAAUAGAAGGAAAUAUACCAAUAUGUUAACGGCGGUUAUCUCACAUUAAGGGUGCUUUUUAUUUCUAUAUUUGUGUGUUGCUGUUUUCCAAGUUUUCUACAAUCAUUUGUGUGUUUCUUAUGUAAUUAGGAAAAAGCAACCAUGUUACUAAUUUAAAAAAUAAUAAUGUCAUCUUUUCACUUUCUGGGCAUGUCUACAGGAAAGACUUAAAACUAUCCCCUGGAAUUACACCUUCCUAGUGCGAUCAUGACCCUUCCUGGGGAAGAGGUAGAGGGGCAUUCGGAAACAGUGAUGGCCAAUUCUCAGUCUCAGCCCCCACUGAUCCUCAGGACAAAAACACAUCCCUGUCAUUGCUUUCUUCAAUUUCCCUGAUACAGUUCCUUUCUGUAGCUGACCUGCCUAGCGCUGCUCCAGAGCUGAUUACAUCAGAGACACAUAACUGACUCACAUUAAGACAACUGAAUUUUCUCUUAGGAAUUUGGGGUGGAGGCGAUGAGACUAAGGUGGAGAAUCAUGAGCAGAGUUAAACAAGAAUGGGAUGGCGCAGCACUGGGACACAGGUGAUGUGCAGCCAGCCAAAGCCACGAAGAAGCAAAAGCUAAGAAUCUCCCUGAGGAAAGCCCUAGGCAGAGAACAGAACAGAAACC